rnacentral:lncRNA from 1 species
GUCCUGUGUCCUCAGCAUCAGGAGACAGUGAGUCUGGACAGUGUUACACAUCAUAUAUCUGUAUAAUACUGUAUGUAACCUGUCCUGUGUCCUCAGCAUAGGAGACAGUGAGUCUGGACAGUGUUACACAUCAUAUAUCUGUAUAAUACUGUAUGUAACCUGUCCUGUGUCCUCAGCAUCAGGAGACAGUGAGUCUGGACAGUGUUCACAUCAUAUAUCUGUAUAAUACUGUAUAUCUGUAUGUAACCUGUCCUGUGUCCUCAGCAUCAGGAGACAGUGAGUCUGGACAGUGUUACACAUCAUAUAUCUGUAUAAUACUGUAUAUCUAUAUGUACACUGUCCUGUGUCCUCAGCAUCAGAGACAGUGAGUCUGACAGUGUUACACUCAUUAUCUGUAUAAUACUGUAUGUAACCUGUCCUGUGUCCUCAGCAUCAGGAGACAGUGAGUCUGGACAGGUGUUACACAUCAUUUCUGUAUAUACUGUCUUAUGUAACCUGU